rnacentral:rRNA from 1 species
UACGUAGGGUGCAAGCGUUAAUCGGAAUUACUGGGCGUAAGCGUGCGCAGGCGGUUAUGCAAGACAGAUGUGAAAUCCCGGGCUCAACCCUGGGAACUGCAUUUGUGACUGCAUGGCUAGAGUACGGUAGAGGGGGAUGGAAUUCCGCGUGUAGCAGUGAAAUGCGUAGAUAUGCGGAGGAACACCGACUGGCGAAGGCAAUCCCCUGGACCUGUACUGACGCUCAUGCACGAAAGCGUGG